rnacentral:tRNA from 1 species
GUGCUUGUGGCCUAAUGGAUAAGGCGCUUGACUUCUAAUCAAGUGAUUGUGAGUUUAAGUCCUAUUGGGUGUG